UCGAGAAUUUUUCUCAAUGGGCGAAAGCCUGAAGGAGCGACGCCGCGUGGGGGAUGAAGGGCUUCGGUCCGUAAACCCCUGUCAUUUGCGAACAAACCUUACCCAAUAACAUUGGGUGAGCUGAUUGUAGCGAAAGAGGAAGGGACGGCUAACUCUGUGCCAGCAGCCGCGGUAAUACAGAGGUCCCGAGCGUUGUUCGGAUUCACUGGGCGUAAAGGGUGCGCAGGUGGGCUGGUAAGUUCGAUGUGAAAGCCCCGGGCUUAACCCGGGAAUGGCAUUGGAUACUACUGGUCUGGAGGAUUGGAGGGGGGACUGGAAUUCUUGGUGUAGCAGUGAAAUGCGUAGAUAUCAAGAGGAACACCAGUGGCGAAGGCGAGUCCCUGGACAAUUCCUGACACUGAGGCACGAAAGCCAAGGGAGCAAACAG
rnacentral:rRNA from 1 species